ACAAAACGCAUAGAUUCGGGCAUAGGGAAAAGGGUGCAACUCCCUUGCGGUCCCGCCGCUGUGAGUGGGGACGAACCUCACGAGUAGCCACUGUUUGGGGGAUGUUAAACGUUAUUCGUUAAACGUAAGAUUUCGAUCCUUCCGAUUAACGUAUAACGAUUCACGGUUAACGUCUUCGAAAUGGGAAGGCGUGAGUAGUAGGACGAACCACGAGCCAGAAGACCUGCCCGAGUUCGCGGCCAACC
rnacentral:ncRNA from 2 species